GCCAGUGUAGCAUACUGGUAAGGAGCAGGGCUUGUAACCAGGAGGUUGCUGGUUUGAUUCCCCCCUGGGGCA